GCUUCCGGCCAUAUCACUUUGAAUGCAUCGGUUCUCGUCUAAUCACCGAAGUUAAGAUACACCGAGCCUAGUUAAUACUUAAAUGGGUGGCCGCUUGAGAUACCUAAGUGCUGUAAGUU
rnacentral:rRNA from 1 species